rnacentral:rRNA from 1 species
AGUGAACGCUGGCGGUAGGCCUAACACAUGCAAGUCGAACGGCAGCACAGUAAGAGCUUGCUCUUACGGGUGGCGAGUGGCGGACGGGUGAGGAAUACAUCGGAAUCUACUUUUUCGUGGGGGAUAACGUAGGGAAACUUACGCUAAUACCGCAUACGACCUACGGGUGAAAGCAGGGGAUCUUCGGACCUUGCGCGAUUGAAUGAGCCGAUGUUGGGUUAGCUAGUUGGCGGGGUAAAGGCCCACCAAGGCGACGAUCCGUAGCUGGUCUGAGAGGAUGAUCAGCCACACUGGAACUGAGACACGGUCCAGACCCCUACGGGAGGCAGCAGUGGGGAAUAUUGGACAAUGGGCGCAAGCCUGAUCCAGCCAUACCGCGUGGGUGAAGAAGGCCUUCGGGUUGUAAAGCCCUUUUGUUGGGAAAGAAAAGCAGCAGGUUAAUACCCCGCUGUUCUGACGGUACCCAAAGAAUAAGCACCGGCUAACUUCGUG